rnacentral:rRNA from 1 species
UGGGGAAUUUUGGACGAAUUGGGCGAAAGCCUGAUCCAGCAAUGCCGCGUGUGUGAAGAAGGCCUUCGGGUUGUAAAGCACUUUUGUCCGGAAAGAAAUCCUUGGCUCUAAUACAGUCGGGGGAUGACGGUACCGGAAGAAUAAGCACCGGCUAACUACGUGCCAGCAGCCGCGGUAAUACGUAGGGUGCAAGCGUUAAUCGGAAUUACUGGGCGUAAAGCGUGCGCAGGCGGUUUGCUAAGACCGAUGUGAAAUCCCCGGGCUCAACCUGGGAACUGCAUUGGUGACUGGCAGGCUAGAGUAUGGCAGAGGGGGGUAGAAUUCCACGUGUAGCAGUGAAAUGCGUAGAGAUGUGGAGGAAUACCGAUGGCGAAGGCAGCCCCCUGGGCAAUACUGACGCUCAUGCACG